rnacentral:rRNA from 1 species
CAGUCGCCACGGGAAUACGUAGGUGGCAAGCGUUGUCCGGAAUUAUUGGGCGUAAAGGGCUCGCAGGCGGUUUCUUAAGUCUGAUGUGAAAGCCCCCGGCUCAACCGGGGAGGGUCAUUGGAAACUGGGAAACUUGAGUGCAGAAGAGGAGAGUGGAAUUCCACGUGUAGCGGUGAAAUGCGUAGAGAUGUGGAGGAACACCAGUGGCGAAGGCGACUCUCUGGUCUGUAACUGACGCUGAGGAGCGAAAGCGUGGGAAGCGAACAGGAUUAGAUACCCCGGUAGUCCCUGUCUCUUAUAC